rnacentral:rRNA from 1 species
CCUACGGGAUGCAGCAGUGAGGAAUAUUGGUCAAUGGACGCAAGUCUGAACCAGCCAUGUCGCGUGCAGGAUGACUGCCCUAUGAGUUGUAAACUGCUUUUGUAUGAGGGUAAAUUGUGCUACGUGUAGGGUUUUGUAUGUACCCUAUGAAUAAGGAUCGGCUAACUCCGUGCCAGCAGCCGCGGUAAUACGGAGGAUCCAAGCGUUAUCCGGAUUUAUUGGGUUUAAAGGGUGCGUAGGUGGAUGGGUAAGUUAGUUGUGAAAUCCCGCGGCUCAACCCUGACACUGCCGCUGAUACUGGCAGGCUAGAGUAUAGUAGCGGUAGGCGGAAUGUGUGGUGUAGCGGUGAAAUGCAUAGAGAUCAUACAGAACUCCGAUUGCGAAGGCAGCUUACCGAACUGCAACUGACAUUGAGGCUCGAAAGCGUGGGGAGCAAACAGGAUUAGAUACCCGGGUAGUC